CUCGUAGGCGGUUCGUCGCGUCCGGUGUGAAAGUCCAUCGCUUAACGGUGGAUCCGCGCCGGGUACGGGCGGGCUUGAGUGCGGUAGGGGAGACUGGAAUUCCCGGUGUAACGGUGGAAUGUGUAGAUAUCGGGAAGAACACCAAUGGUGAAGGCAGGUCUCUGGGCCGUUACUGACGCUGAGGAGCGAAAGCGUGGGGAGCGAACA
rnacentral:rRNA from 1 species